rnacentral:lncRNA from 1 species
GUUCUUUUUGGGCAGCCAGGCUACAUACGUUUCCUGUAAAUUUGAUGGCUUACAUUCCUCCACACAAGCGGCAUUACAAGGAUGUGAGAAGGGCAUCCCCGAUUCCAGAGACACUGCAACCUCAAUUUCAAAGAAAUAUGAAUUUGAGAGCAUCCACUUCUCGUAAAAAAAAGAGUGGAAAGAUUGUUGAUGCAGACACUACCAUAUAUAAAUGGUUUGCUGUUGGCUUGGACGAAGAUGGCCAGUUUCCUCCUUACAUCCAUCUCGAGCCGAUUUCCUUUGAAUAUAUUGAGAGUAAAACUGGAGAAAAGCCUCUGGUCUUGGUGAAUAGCAUUGUAACUGAAGGUUGGUGUUCCAUCCUUUUCUGUUAGUUGCUUCUUCCCUUGAAUGGUGUUUGAGUUAAAUGUUCUUAUUAUAAAUUUUGUAUUAAAUUUCAUGCAUUGAAGAGGAUAGCAAACUGGAAAGGACUUGCUCCAGAAGUCCAUGGGAGAUUAUAGCGGAAAACGUACAGCAAGAACUACUCUCUUCUUUCGAAAUUUUGAGGAAUGAAAUGGAUGAUCAGGGUUCUGAAAAAAUAAAGCCAGAAUUGGUUGCUCGAUUGGGCAAAAUCGCUUUUAGUGGGUGAGCAAUCCAACUUCUCUCUAUAUAUUGCAAAUUGAGUUGAUGUUAAUUGGAACUUCAUCUUUUUUCCAACUUAUGAUGCCUUUUUAGAUGGAAGGAUGCAACUGAAAAUUGCUUAUGUUGUGAAGUUGCCUGGAAUUGUCUCUGUUUAUUCUCCAUGACAUACUCAAUGAACUAAGGGAAGAACGUAGGCGUAUAAGUGUUUGUUCCUCCAUAUAGGACCUCGACUGGAGUUAAUAUUUUGAUUUGGUUUGUUUCGAGUGUAUCAUAUGACUUGUUUUGCUCUAGUGAUUGCUUUGAUCGCUGCCAAACAAAUUCUGCUGGUGCUCUAUCAGUGUAACGUAGAUAUUGUUGAUAUGCAUAUAUUAGAAGCCAUAACUGCCUCUGUUAAAUGAAAUUCAUAUCCUCCAUCAGUGCAUAAGAAGCAUGUUUUAUAUUUCAGUUUCUACAAGGAUAAGCAAGCAAGAAUUAUAAUACAAAUUCUGUGAUGCAGGAGCUAUUCAAUGAGACUAGAAAGUGUCGAUAAAAUUCAGGUUGAAGAAGCCAUUUUGAGACAACUCAAAAGAUCAUUGUACACAGAUAUUCCUUCAUCAUAUAUGGAAAAUAUUAUAGAUGGAGUGGUCCCAGCGAUUGGAGUUGAUUUUGAAUAGGAGAAAGAUGUUUACACUGUAAAGGUAUCCCUUUUGCUGCAUACCGACUCAUGGUAGUGUUUUUCUUAUGUUUUUAAUUCAAUUUGUCACUAACUUUUCUUCCUUCAAGCAGUUGUCUGAUAAUACACGGCCAGAUGCCACUAUUUCAUGCAAAUGUAUUGUGGUGGAAAAUAAAAAACCUUCUGCUCUACAAGGCAGGUUUUGUACCACUUAUAGUCUUGUCCUCUCAUGUUAAUUUGUCAUAUUAUAUGGUAGAAUUAAUUUGUUUCUGGUAAUUUGCGCUUUAUCAAUGUUACAUCGUGUAAUCUCAUGGACACCUUCUGAAUGAGCAAAAACUAUCUAGUAGGUGGUCCAGUAGUAAAAGUUUGGGAGUUGUUAAUAUGAUAGUCACUGGAGGUUUACAUGGCCAUUAACUUUAGAGCCCGUGAGAUUAGUCGAGGUAUGUGCAAGCUGACCCCGAUACCCAUGUAAUAAUAAUAAAAAAAGAUUAAAGGAGCCAAUAUAUAAUCAAAUUAUAAGAUUUUUAUGGAGGAGAUGGAUUAUGAGUUGAUAACCCAAAAAGAUUUUUUUUUUCAAAGAAAAAAUCAAACACAAAAUUAAGCAGCUAAAAUAAUUGAUGUAACCAUAUUAUUCGAUAGUUUCACUCACAUUUAACUUGUGUUUUGCUUAUUUUUUUAUGUAUAAAAUGCCUUGAUAUUCUUUGUUUUAUGUUUUGAAGGCACCUUUAGAUGAAAGAUGCAAAAAGGAGUAAAUUGGAGGUAAUUGGCAGAUUUGACCCUCAGUCGAUGUUUUGUGCAGAGCGUGAGCUCUAAAAGUCGAAACGAAGUGAUUCCAGUGGCAUUAAAAAGCUAACAUCCAUACCUUUCUGUAAAUCUAAGUCAAGAAAAAUAAAAAUACAAAGAGCAUGAAAAUCACAUCCUUCAAAGUCAAAACUCGCAUUCUGCUAGUGUUGACCUUUGUCUAUUCAAAAUUCAAUAUCUGGAGCUGUAGAUAUCAAAUUGAUGCAAACGCAAUUUUUUUGGAUUUCUGACUCAAAGACCUACAAACACUCCAAAUUUCAGCCAAAAACGAUGUCAUAUGAGUGAGAUAUGAGUUUUCAAAGAUGACAACUGAAUUCUGCCAGCAAACAGGUUUCGUGAAGAAACGAAUCCAAAUUACAUCCCGAAGCAUCAAAACCGACAUCCAAGUUUUAAUUUCAGCAAUUUAGCUCCUCAAGUAAAUCAAUCCAGAAGGUCAAGGAAGGCAGCCACCAACCUCAAGCCACCAACCUCAAGCCACCAACCACAAACCAGCUGCCAGCCGCCAGCCACCUUCACACUACCACCAUCUCUUGAUGUUCACACUUGAACUUUGAUUCUUCUUACUUACAUUUUGUGUAUAAAUAGGCAGCUAAGUUUAUGCUAUGAAGAGAGCCAAGAGGGAAGGAAAGAGAGCCAGGAGAGAGGGAGAGGGAGUGCAGUAGAAUCAAAGAAAGAAGGGUGGCAGCCAUAAGAGAAGAAACACGAACUCUCCCCUCUACAAAUCAGAAAUCAUGUAUUCUUUCAUCUUUAGGAGUAGUUGUUCAAUAGAUAUGCAAGGCUAAGCUCGUUUUCUUGGUUGCAAGGACGCAAAAACCUUCAGAUUUCAAGAACUGUGAGAUUUAUUCUUCCAUUUAUUUUUUGUUUGUAUUAUGAAUGAGUAUGUUUGUUUUCCUAUGCAUAUUUCGUAUGAUUGUUUAUCUUAAUUGCUAGAGCGGACUCUAAGUUAUUAUUGUGAACAAUCUAUUGCUAAGUUUGAUAUCAAAACCGGAGUUGUGAUAUAUAAACUUGUGAAGCAACUAAGCUUGGUAAUUGUAGCGGAACUACGUUAUUAAACUUAGGGAGAACAUUCGAUCAAAGCAACAAAAGCUGACAACUUGGUUGUUAAGAUUAAUGAAUUUAUCUAGAUCUUAAGGCUGCCAUUGGAUUAAAUCAUUAGUGCGGACACUGUGAUUGUUUGUUGGUUAGAGCUAGUUAUACGGCGGAUCCGUUAAUUAACCACUGUUAAGAAAAGAUAAAAAUUCAGAAUAUAAACUGGAGUUUCGUUUCAAGGAUCGGUUCUGAUUUUUGUAGGUGGAUGUGUGCUUGCAACCAAGGUUUGUUUUCUUGAUAUAUUUCAGUUUCAAUUGAUUUUGUUUGCUAGUUUAAUUUCUUCCAUAGUUUAGAUCAUCACAAAUCAAAACUCCCCAAUUGCAUAACAUAUAGCAUAAAAAUCUGAACUAAACCUUCCUCGUGGGAUCGACCCCUUGCUUGCUCUAUACUAUCUUGUGUGUUUUAAGCUAGGGUAAUUAAUUUGUGCGACCGCGACAUCGCAACAAUAAUCCAUCAGGUUAAAAAUUUGAUCUCGAGCAAGAUGAUUUUUUUUCCAUUUUGUUUUGCUUUUUAAAAUGGUACAAUAUUCAUUAUUCAUUCCAGUCAGAACAAAAUAAAUCAAUUAAAAACCUAAAAUUAAAUCAAUUAAAAAACAUUUCUCGAGCUUCGAUAUAUAUAUAUUUUUUAAAUCAUUAAAGGUAAAAAUCACCUUCAUUUAUUUUUUUUCUUAAAAUGAAAUUCAUAAACAUCAAAAUUAAAGUGAUCAAUAGCCGGAAUCCGGCCACCACAGGAGUUUUUUCUCUGCUAAAUUUUUUCGAUAGCUUUCUUUCUCUUCCCUUAAGAUCCAAGAGUUGAAACGUAAAAGAGAAAUUGGAAUGAAGCAAAAUAUCAAAAAUACUAGGGAGCAAAUAUUAAAAAAAAAGAUUAUAUGGAUUAAAGUGUAGUUUUAUGCGCAGUUGUAUAUAUGGGAAAAAGGUUGUUAAUUUUUGUUAAUGUCAAUUUUGAUCCUAGUUUUUUUAAUUUUAUUUUUACAAUAAUUAAAAAUUUAAUUAUAUUACCUUUAUUUAAUUCCGGAACAAUCUCCGACACAUUAGACAAGGUAUAAAUUUAAUAAAAUUUAUUUGCCAAAUACUAUUUUCAAGUUCUAUAAAAUAUGUCUUUGAAAACUGAUGCAGCAAAAGACGUGAUUUAUUAUGGACUGGUACUGUGAAUUUACUCUUUUUUCCUUGGCAAAAACAUGGAUGAAUGGGUCUUGGAGGGUAUAAUUGUAUCUUCACGGGAUUCUUUUGUCAUUUUAGAAUUGUUAAGAUGAUUUUUUAUUUUUUUUUCAAAUAUUUUACACGGUGAAAAUUACUUGAAUAUCCUUAAAAACAACAACAACAAGAAAAGCUAACUAUGGUCUAGGGAUAUUUUUGGUUUUUUAUUUUUUUUAAUUACCCAAUUCUUUUUAUAAUCAAAAUUCUCAUGGCUAUAUGGUUUUUCUGUAAUUUCAAAAAUAGAUUUUUAUAAUUAUUAUUUAAGCCUAGAAGUAAUGUGUUAAUUAAAAAAAAAACAACUGAUUAGACAUGUGGUUUACUACAAUGGUAGAAAUCUUGAUUUCAUUGCGUCAUUCGAUUCCUCUUGAUGUAUGUCAUAAAAAAAACUCAUAGUAGCCCUUCAAUUUAUUUUCUUUUUAGAUUUAGCUCUUGUUCUUUUUAUUGUAAUUUUUUUAUCAAAUUGUUUCAAAUUAAAAAUUAUUUUCAAUUUUACCCUUCUUCAAUUUUUUUAUAUCUCAAAUUUGAUCCCUAUUCUUUUUAUUGUUAUUUUUUAGAUGAUUUAUAAAUUUGAUUUUUUUGUUAUUUAACUCUCCAUUUUUUUUUCUAUCAUUUUUUAUCCUUAUUUUUUUUUAUUGCUAUUUUUCUGCUUGGACAAGUUUUUUAGAUUGAUUUUUUUUAUUUUAUCAUUUAACAUUAAAUUGAUUGAGAAUUGAACUUCUUGAUUGCGUUUGGGUAUGAGAUUUCUCGAGUUAUGAUUUUGGUUAUUCGCCUAGAUUUGCUUGGUUUUUCAUAUUAUUAAAUUAAUCGAACUUAUUAAACCCAGUUGGCUCAAAGACACAAAUCUUGAAUUUCUUUUACUUUUAUAGAAAUCUGAGCGUCGCCUUAUCUUUAUUCUUCUUACAUCCUUUAAAAUUUGUAUUGGCUCGUGACAUUGCGUCGGCUACUGAUAUAGGUUUACUCGGGUUAUUUUUUUUUUGUUUUUUUAAAUUAAUUUUUUUCGUCUUCGGCCUUCGAUAUUUGGUUCAUUAUAAUUGAGUUUUUUUAAUUUUUUAUAUGGGUUUUAUGGCUUUAUCACGAUCUCACACCUUAUAUCGUAGGUUUUAUAGGUUAACCAUUGCUAAUCCGGGUUGGUCUAAUAUAUCAUUGUCUCUGAUUGUUUUUAAAAAAAUAUAUGUCGCUUGAUAAUUUUGAAUUAAUGUCUUUUUAGUGCUUUAAUAGUUUUGAAGUGUUAAUAUAAAAAAUAAAAAUUAUAUUUUUAAAUAAAAAUUAUUUUUAAAAAUAUCUUUCAAAGCUAAGUGGUUUGUAGCAAUCCAUGAUUAUUUUUUUUCUUGCCUAAGCAAUUUGCUGGAAUAAUUAUCUAUGGACUUGAUGCCCCACCAUGAACUGACCUCUAACUCCAAGACGCCUCUCUCUUUUCAAUUCUAUGUUACUUUUUAAAUACUAAGCAUGACACAAAGGAACAAGUCGCAAAGUAUUUAAAGUAUUUUUUAUUUGCUUUAUAUAUAUAGUUUUUAUAUGUUAAUAUUAAAAAUUAAAAAAUAUAAAAAAUUAUUAUUUUAAUAUAUUUCCAAUUAAAAAUGACUUGUAAAAAUAUAAUGUAUCACACUAUCUAACACUGCUUCGGUGGGUUGAGUUGUUUAGGUGGAAGUCUCCUUCGAUGGGCUGAGUUGUAUUAUAUACAUAGAUUAUUUAUAAUUUUACCAUAUAUAUAAUUCUUUUUAUUUUUUAUUAAAUAAUAAAUAGUAUUCGAGCUAGAAAUCCUCGAAUAGAUACUUAAUCUAAUGUUUAAAAUAUAAAUAUUUAAAUUUUUUAUUUGAUAGAUAAUAAAUAAUAUAUAAAUAUAACACAAAUUCAAUUCAGCCAUAUCUAUUGUCAUCCUGAAUUUUAAUAGUCUCACAAUCAACUAUUUAAAAAAUUUCAAAAUGUUGGGAAUGAUGGCAUUAAAAAAUAAAAUAAAAGGCAUCAUUCUUUCAUUAUCCCAAGAUAUAAUACAAUAUUAUAGAUUGGAACAGUAAAAUAAUCAUUUUAUCUUUAUUUUAUAAAAUUAUCGAAUUAAUUUUUUACUAGGUUCAUUUGUUAUUAUCAAAUUGAUUAAAGGUAAAUAAGUUUUUUUUUAUUUUUUUAGUAUAGUAAAAUGAUUGAAUUACCUUUUAAACCAAAAAACAAAUUAAAUUAGCUUCUAGGAGCUUUUCAGUCAUUUAAUUUAUUUUAGUACAGUAAAAUGAUAAAAUUACUUUUAUAAGCAUUGGCUACAAAACUCACUUUCAAAGGCUUUUUUGUCUUUUCAAGCUAGCUUUUUGUUUAUUUUCAAGUUGAUUGAGAGACUAUUUGUUAUUUUAAUAAAUAUAAAAUAUUAUUUUAAAAAAAUGAUUGGCAAGUGAGUAAGUAGGUGAUGCUCGUACUCUUUAGGCGGUGCAUGAGACAUUGUUAAGUGUCCAAACACUAUCUUUCAUGACGACAUUUAAAUCGACAUGAUAUCCCCUCCAUGUCUAGGUAGCUCAUGUAGCCAACAAGCUUUAGGUUUGGCACCGACAACUUUUUUUUUUCUCUUUCCUCCUCAAGUUUUACGCUUGACUUUCAAAUUUUCAAAGCAGUCUUUCAAUUUAUUUUUCCUUUAGAUUUAGUUCAUGUUAUUUUGAUUAUUAUUUUUUUAAUUUAGAAUAAUUUAUAAAAUUAGUUUUUUUUCAAUUUCACCCCCUUCAAUUUUUUUAUAUGUUAGAUUUGGUCCUUAUUUUUUUAAUUACUAUUAGUUUUAUUUAAGAUAAUUUUUUAAAUUAAGGUUUUUUACAAUUUCAUUUUUUUUUAGUUUUUUUUACUAUCAAAUUUGAUUGUUAUUUUUUGGUUUGCUUGAAAUUAUUUGUUGCUAAUUCAAAUAUGUUAUGUAGAUAUGCAUCUAAUCACACAUUUGUUCUUUUCAAGGGUUCUCUCCUUUUCGGAUUUAUGUUGUAUAGAUAUGCUAUCCUUCGUAACUCACCAAUAAAUAUUUGACCUCUCAACAGUGACUAAAUACGAUUUCUUUAAAUUUAGUCAAAACUUGACUUUCAGUUUGUUUGCUAAAAAAUAAUUUCCAUGAAAAGUUAAUUUUUAAAGUUGAAGAAAGAUGAAAUUAUCAACAAAAAAUUUUAAAUUUCAUAAAUUAUUUUAAAAAACAAAUAAUAAUUAAAAUAAUAGGGAUUAAAUCUGAUAGAUGAAAAAGUUGAAAGAGGAUGACAUUAAAAAAAAUUCCUAUUUCAUAAAUUAUUUCAAACAAAAUAAAUAGUGAUAAAAAGAAUGAGAACCAAAUUUGAUAUAUAAAAACAUUUUAAAAAAAAGGAUAAGAGAAAAAAUAAAUAACAAUAAAAAGAAUGAGAACCAAAGUUAAUAUAAAAGUCAAAUUAAAUCAAAUUCUAAGGGAUGAAAUUGAAAAACAAAUUCAAAAAAGAAUUAAAACAAAAUGUAUAGCAAUUAAAAGAUUGAGGUUUAAAUUUUUUUAUAACAUUUAAAAAGUGUAGUUUUAUGCGCAGCUGAGUUGUAUAUAUGAGAAAAAGGUUGUUAAUUUUUGUCAAUAUCAAUUUUAAUUCUAGUUCUUUUAAAGGAAUAUAUUCAAAAGCACUUUCCGACCACAGUUGGUGACAGUGUGAUAAAUUUCUUAAAGGAAUCCUAAGAUUGAGAAGAUUAGAGAAUUUGUUUGUCGUCCAAUUUGAUAAAAGAUCGAUCAAUUGCUAUAUUUCAUGUAUUUUCCCGACUUUUAGUAUGGAUGAAAUACUAUAUUUCAUUCUCAAAUAAAUCGAGAAAUUCUAUUAAAAUACAAAAAUAAUAAAAUUGAAAGAGUAAGUUAUUUUUUAGUAUCCUAAUAUCAUAUAAUAUUUUACAACUCAAUCUCCAUCACAUAAAAUAAAUAUUAAAAUAUAAUUUAUUUUUUAAAAUAUAUUUCCAAACUCAAUAUUUUUUCAAGUAAUUAACAAGAGAGCUAGCCUUGAUAUUUUAGUUUUUGUUAAGUAAAUCAAACCCUCCUAGUUAAGUAUUACCAUAAUUGACUGUGUGUGUCCCCUUCCCUCUCUUUAUUCGUUCUUUAUAUAUAUAUAUAUAUAUUUUUUAAAAAAGAAUAAAAUGGAUGUUUGGGAUUGAGAGUAAUUGUUUUUUAACGUAUUUUUUAUUUAGAAAUAUAUUAAAAUAUUUUAUUAAAAAAAAAUAUUUUUGAUAUCAAUAUAUUAAAAUGAUAUAUAUAUUAAGAAAAAUUAAUUUAAACUAAAAAAAAUAAAGAAUUUUACAUUAAUUGAGUGUUUAUGUGUGUCCCUUUCCCUUUUUAUUCGUUUUUGGUAUAUAGUAAAACAAAAUAAGAUGAGUUUUUGAACGGGAGUAGUAAUUGUUUUUUAAAAUGUUUUAUAUUUAAAAAUAUAUUAAAAUAAUAUUAUUUUAUUUUUUAAAAAUUAUAAAAUAAUUAAAGAAUUUCACUUUAAUUGAGUGCGUGUGGGUCCCUUUCCCUCUUUCUUGGUUUCUACAUUCAUUCGAUUCGAUCUCCAAAUUUAUCCUGUGAUGCCCUUCCUAUUGCCAAAGCAUUGUACAAAAAAGUAUUUUGGAUGAUAUUUUACUAUUUUAAUUGUCUAAAAACAAUGAUUUUUUUUAAAAAAAUUUCACAAUAAACUAGAAAUUUAUGGGUUAUACAUAUAUUCACUCUGGUUCUUCAUUUACUUACUAGUAGUAGUAAUGCUCAAUAAGGGAUUCAUAAUAAUGCUCUUCUUAUUUUUUAAAAUAUUUAUUGUUCAAAUUCAAUCUUUAUUUAUCUUCUAUAAAUAUUUUCCUCCAGUUCUUUUCCCGCUUUAUUCUUUCUUUCUUUCUAUAUGGUUCUAUAUAUACAUUCUCGCAUUUGUGUUGUAACAAUAUAAUACCUCCAGAACAGAGCUGCUGUUGCACGAUCAACAACAGUUUUUAACUCUCAGGUAUGAUCGUCCCUCUACUGCUUUAAUCAUACUCAGUUUCUUCAUUUUUGGGUCUUAGUUCUUAGCUUAAAUAAAUCAUUAUUACUAAAAUGAUCGACUUAAUCAAUUUAUUGCAACAUUAGUUUAUCUGGGUUGUUUCUUUUUUCUUUGUAAUUCAUGUUGUGAUCAUCUGUGACUGGAUUUUUCCUUCUUUCCUUCUUUCUUUUGGGUUCUUGAAAUAUCAGAAUUUCUUUUCUUUUCCUGUAGGUUUCUUUCUGCUUUCUUGUUUCAAUAAUGUGUUCUUUUUGGGCAGCCAGGCUACAUACGUUUCCUGUAAAUUUGAUGGCUUACAUUCCUCCACACAAGCGGCAGUCCAAGGAUGUGAGAAGGGCAUCCCCGAUUCCAGAGACACCGCACCCUCAGUUUCAAAGAAAUAUGAAUUUGAGAGCAUCCACUUCUCGUAAAGAUAAGAGUGGAAAGAUUGUUUAUGCAGACCAUGCCAUAUCUAAAUGGUUUGCUGUUGGCUUGGAUGAUGAUGGCC